rnacentral:tRNA from 1 species
GAGGCCCUAGUAAAAUUAUUACGCUGCCUUGUCAAGGCAGAAUUGUGGGUUAAACCCCCGCGUGCCUCC